UUGCUCUUUGCUCGAAAACUUGAAUACAAAAUAUAUUGAAGAACCAUGUUCCGUUGACCGCCCGCCUCUUAUUUAUUUUUAUUAUACUUUUUAGCAAUUUUAUGAAAACCUCUUUAUUCUUUUUUUUAUAUUAAUGAGAUUAGUUUCUCUUUUGCAAAUAAUAAUAAGAUACUAAAAUGGAUAUAUUCGAAAACGAAGAAGCAGAUAAAGACACAGUGGAGGAAAAUGAAUUGGAAGAACAAUUUCCAAAAAAAUAUGAUUUAAUGACCGAAAUAGAAGUGUCACUCAAGAAAACUUAUAUCAACAAAAUAAGCGGCACGAAAACAUUAAAGUAUUCAAUAAUUCUACCAGACAACACCAUAGAAGUAUAUGAGGUUAAUGAUAGCUCAUUGUCACGUGUGUGCUCCAUGAGCGGCCAUGAGAAGACGGUGACUGAGACUGUUUUCAACCCUAAUGAUGACAACAUACUUUUCUCAACAUCUGAAGAUGGACUUGUCAAGAUGUGGGAUACAAGAGCCGGUGGCUCCUGUGUACUAGAUUAUAAAGAUGAGGAGGAAAAGAUAAUUCGUCCAUACGAGUGCUUGGACGUGUCGUACAACGGGCGCGUCCUGUGCACCGGCAGCCAGCUGGUGGAGGACGACGCGUACCUCGUGUUCUGGGACCAGCGCGCGCCCAAGCCGCUCGGCGGCUACUGGAACACGCACACCGACGACGUCACGCAGGUGAAAUUCCACAAGGAGAAGGUGGAGAUCCUGGCGACGGGCUCGGUGGACGGGCUGGUGAACGUGUUCAACAUAAUGGAACAGACGGAGGACGAGGCCCUGACGCACACGCUGAAUGCGAAGUGCGCCGUCGACAAACUGGCUUGGGUGGGUGGUGCCGCUGUGGCGUGCCUCACGCAGGCGCACCAGCUGCAGCUGUGGAGCACCGCCAGCGCCCGGUGCGCCCUGCACUGCGAGAGGCAGCACAUCGCCGGGACCAUGAAGCGGAGCCGCGCGGACGACUGCUACCUGGUGGACACGGUGACGUCGGUGGGCGGGCGGCCCGUGCUGCUGGCCGGCUCCUACGGCGGCGAGGAGAAGACGCUCCGCGCGCUGGUGGUGGCCGGCGGCCGCCUGCUGCCCUACGCCAACUUCGCUCGCAACCGCCAGCUCGUGCGCUGCUGCCACCACGACCAGGCGAGGGACCUGCUGGUGACGGCGGGGGAGUCGGGCAUCGUGAGCGUGUGGCGCGGCGUGCCCGACCACACCGGCCUCGAUGAUGCAGACGACCUCGACCACAUCUCCGGCAUCGACGCCGACCUACGUGACGGUGACCACGUCGAUAUGGACGCUUCCGGUGAUUCCGACGAAUCCGGCGAGAGCGACGACUCCGAGGACGAAGACGGAUCCGAGGACGGCGACAGCUCUGAAGACGGCGAUGGGUCCGACGACGGCGACGGGUCCGACGAUGAUAAUAAAUCCGACGAUGGCGACAAGUCCGAUGAUGGCAACAAAUCUGACGACUGCGCCAAGUCUGACGAUACAGACAAAUCGGAUAAUUCUGUUAAUUCGGACGAUUCUGAUAAGUCUAAGGUUUCGGACAAACCGGACGACUCGGUUACACACAAAAAGUCGGGCCCGCUAGAACACUUAGAUACAGCGGACUCAAAUAAACAGGAAACGUUGAGCAAAACUGAAGUCUCAAAUAAAGCCUACGACUCGGAUAAAAUGGAUUCAUCGGAUGAGUCGUUCGAGUCGAGCGAAACGGAGGGUGGCGAAGUGAUGGACGAUGUGUCGGGCAAGCUGACGGGCGCUCUAGCCCGCCUGCAGGCGCGCCGCCACCGCCCCUACUGAGGGCACACCCUAACUCGCGGACAGGUGUCGGGCAAGCUGACGGGCGCGCCGCCACCGCCCCUACUGUGCGCACACCCUAACUCGCGGACAGGUGUCGGGCAAGCUGACGGGCGCGCCGCCACCGCCCCUACUGUGCGCACACCCUAACUCGCGGACAGGUGUCGGGCAAGCUGACGGGCGCGCCGCCACCGCCCCUACUGUGCGCACACCCUAACACGCGGCUUCGCAUACAAUGUUGUAUGAUGUCGGAGCUGCGCCGGAUCUAUCUUAAUAGGUUAAAUGAUUGUUGCUCAUUUUCAGUUCGUACUAUAAGCUUGCUUAUCGACUUUGUUUAUACUUCUAUUUAUGUAUAUAUAAAAAUGACAAUGACAUUAUUUUAGAUUUCUCAUAAUGCACUGUAUUCCGCAAGUCAAGCCCUUUCAAGUGAUAUAUAUAUAUAUAUAUAUAUGUUGGCGUUGUUGUACAAGAACAUGUGAUGCGCCAUUUUGUGAUGUCGGACUGGAUUUUUAUAUUGUACUUUAUUAUUUUUUGUACAAUGUGCUAAAAUCCAAUUGAAAAUAUAAAUUGAUUGAAAAAUAAAAGCUUAAAGAUGAACUGCUAAAAGUAGGAAUUGACCUAAAAAUGGUUUUUAAUAUUAUUUCAUUAACGUUUACAAGAAAUUUUAUUUAAAUAAGAUAAUUAUAGUUUUAACUCCGGAUCUGUGAAUCAGGGUUGAAACCUCUUAAAUUGUGAAGCUGUAACUGUGUCGACGCGUCACACUUGCAAUUUUAUUGAUGUUCGCGCGUGCUGAGUGCGCGCGUGUUGCGCGCUGAGUGCGCGCGUGUUGCGCGCUGCGUGCCGCGUGUUGCGCGCCGCGUGUUGCGCACUGCGGUCUGGCGCGGCCGUGUCUCUUGCGUAGAUCGUGAUCUAAGCUUUACUGAAUGUCCAAAGUGUAUGUACACAUCAAUAUGGGGUAAAAGUAUAUGUAGUGUGCUAGUUGCCGGCCGACCGCCCGAGCUCGGCGGUCCUGCAGCAGACCUGCGCUCGACGUCUUCAUAUCCUGCUGUUUUACUAACCUUUACAUGCACCAUGUACUCAAAUAUUGAUGUUGUUUUAUACGUAGAAUGAAAUUUUUCGUAUCGUUCGGUGAGUCGUAGUAGUAACCGGAUAGUCGACAUGUUGUAAUGUAGUUAGCUUUAAAGAUGAACCGAUGUAUCUCUCGCAAAACCCCCGUGUCCCCCCCCCUCCCGCCUACUCUGCGAGGUUCUCUAUUAUAUU